rnacentral:rRNA from 1 species
UGAACGCUGGCGGCAUGCUUUACACAUGCACGUCGACCGGCAGCGCGGGCUUCGGCCUGGCGGCGAGUGGCGAACGGGUGAGUAAUGCAUCGGAACGUGCCCAGUAGUGGGGGAUAGCCCGGCGAAAGCCGGAUUAAUACCGCAUACGACCUGAGGGUGAAAGCGGGGGACCGAAAGGCCUCGCGCUAUUGGAGCGGCCGAUGUCGGAUUAGCUAGUUGGUGGGGUAAAGGCUUACCAAGGCGACGAUCCGUAGCUGGUCUGAGAGGACGACCAGCCACACUGGGGCUGAGACACGGCCCAGACUCCUACGGGAGGCAGCAGUGGGGAAUUUUGGACAAUGGGGGCAACCCUGAUCCAGCCAUGCCGCGUGCGGGAAGAAGGCCUUCGGGUUGUAAACCGCUUUUGUUCGGGAAGAAAUCCUCUGGGCUAAUACCCCGGGGGGAUGACGGUACCGGAAGAAUAAGCACCGGCUAACUACGUG